rnacentral:miRNA from 1 species
ACAGUUACCAGCAGAGGUUCU